GAUGAACGCUAGCUACAGGCUUAACACAUGCAAGUCGAGGGGCAGCACAGUGUAGCAAUACAUGGGUGGCGACCGGCGCACGGGUGCGUAACGCGUAUCCAACCUUCCCGUUACUCUUGGAUAGCCUUCCGAAAGGGAGAUUAAUACAAGAUGGUAUUCAAAUUCCGCAUGUUAUUUGAAUUAAAGAUUUAUCGGUAACGGAUGGGGAUGCGUGACAUUAGAUAGUAGGCGGGGUAACGGCCCACCUAGUCUACGAUGUCUAGGGGUUCUGAGAGGAAGGUCCCCCACACUGGAACCGAGACACGGUCCAGACUCCUACGGGAGGCAGCAGUGAGGAAUAUUGGUCAAUGGUCGGAAGACUGAACCAGCCAAGUAGCGUGAAGGAUGAAGGUUCUAUGGAUUGUAAACUUCUUUUAUACGGGAAUAAAACAUCCCACGUGUGGGAUCUUGUAUGUACCGUAUGAAUAAGCAUCGGCUAACUCCGUG
rnacentral:rRNA from 1 species